CGGAGGGUGCGAGCGUUGUCCGGAAUCAUUGGGCGUAAAGGGCGCGUAGGUGGCCUGGUCAGCGUGCGGUGAAAGCUCGGGGCUCAACCCCGAGUCGGCCGUGCGAACUGCUGGGCUUGAGCACUGUAGAGGCAGGCGGAAUUCCGGGUGUAGCGGUGGAAUGCGUAGAGAUCCGGAAGAACACCGGUGGCGAAGGCGGCCUGCUGGGCAGUAGCUGACACUGAGGCGCGACAGCGUGGGGAGCAAACAGGAUUAGAUACCCUGGUAGUCCACGCCGUAAACGAUGGGCACUAGGCGCUUGGGGGAGCGACCCCCCGAGGGCCGGCGCUAACGCAUUAAGUGCCCCGCCUGGGGAGUACGGCCGCAAGGCUG
rnacentral:rRNA from 1 species